CGUGGAUCAGCAUGCCACGGUGAAUACGUUCCCGGGUCUUGUACACACCGCCCGUCACACCAUGGGAGCUGGUAACACCCGAAGUCAGUAGUCUAACCGCAAGGAGGACGCUGCCGAAGGUGGGAUUAGCGACUGGGGUGAAGUCGUAACAAGGUACC
rnacentral:rRNA from 1 species